UUUAGUUUUAGCUAUAAUUCUUAAAACAUGUACUCAUAUACAUUCCUCCCCCCCCCCCCCCAUGGAAAAAGUAACGUUAUAUCCCAUUUAUUCAGUUUAGAGUUCUUAUAAGCACUAAAUAUUCUGAUAGUGAACCGGCGCAAACAAAAUUUCCUGCAUUUUGAUUUUAGCAUCACUUUAAGCUUAAUUUCAGUGAGAACUUGAGAGAUAAAAACAUUAUCUUGCAAAAGUCCUGGACAGAUACCCUUCUGUUGUGCGUAUUGCACAUAUGUAUUCCUAAGAUAAAUUGAGAAAUGAGAAAAUUCGAAACCACAUCAAAAUGGCGAUCGAGCUUCACGAUUAUGUAAAAAAACGAAAGCUAAGAUUGUAUCAUAUCAUUAACAAAAAACGCGAAGAUAUUUCUAUACGGUACAUUACCAGGGAAAAGAAAGAGGGACAGUCAAAAGAAUAGAUGGGAAACCAAUAUCAUAGAAUAGACAGGCCUACAUUUAUAAGCUACUCUGGCCAAUGAAAGAGAGGAAUGGAAAGAGAUGAUUAACAGUUAAUGUGUGGUGUCCCAACGGUCUGACAAGUCAGGUUAAGCCAUGAAACAAUGUGUAGCCUGCUUCCUAAGCUUUCUUUCUCCAAAUAUUUAAUAAGCUCUUUUUUGUGACCUUUGGUGUAUAUUGUAAAUACUUCAAUGCUCUUCAUUAGUACAAAUACCUUAGCAUCCUGUUCAAAAAUGAGUUUUGCUUUAAGAUGUUUCUUCUGGUUGAGUCAUAGAAAUUUAUUUGUGAGAUUUGUUUUGAUACUUUUUAGGGUACAUUGUGAAAUAAUAAAAAAUUCUUUUCUUUUAGAGUGCCCUCCUGUGCACGAAAAUGCAGUAGCAACUUUAAAAGCUUACGUCAAUCGUACAAUAGAUAAGACUCGCAGAAAUGUUCAUCCAGCACUUAAGUUUUCUAAGAAUAACAUUCCAGUACUUAGCUGUUCGUUACAUGAGGACUCAAAAUGUGUAGAUGAAGGCAGUAACAUUACCAAUAUGAAAAUUAAUUCUACAAAACAACUUACUGAAAACCACUACGUCAUCACUCUUGAAGUACUCACUAACACAAACUGGAGAAGCGAUUCAACUAAAUUGUCAGCCUUCGGAGAAUGGCAAGUGAAGUUACUAAAGGACAUACAAACAUGUGAUUUGCAAGUCUAUGGUAAUACCGUCUGACUGACUAAACAUCCAAGGGAAAAAGCUAGAAGCAAAUGUAAACAAAAAAAAAAAUGUAGUGUAGGUAGGCAUAGAGAACGUAUUUCAGACUAAACAUUCAUUGCCUUUUUUUAUACAUUUUUUUCCAAAUCAUAAUCAUGAAACAAAGUACACAUCAGUUUUUGAGAAUUUGCUGCAACAUUCUCUUGUAGGAAGUAACGCUUUUCAAACUAUCCCAAACAGCUUCAAGCUCUAAUUUAAGCCACACGAAUGCAGGAAAUAUUUACAAAUACAAAUAUAUGAGCUUCUGAUUUUUUUUUGGUUUUGUUUUCAUUAUUUUUGUUUUCACAAUGAAAAGUUUAAAACAAUUUAAUAAUAAAUAACUAUAAUUGUUAUAAUAAAUUUAUUCUUAAAGUUUAAUUAAGUUUGUUUAAACGUGUAUAAAUUUUCCAUUGCAUGCGCUGAAAAUAAAUAAAAAGUGAAAGGUAUUAAUUUUAGAAUCGAAAGUUGCAUUUGUUGAUAUUGUUCACCUAUACUGUCCUAUACCUAUAGUCGCUGUGUUGUGAGAAUGUCCGUUGUCGAUUGGGCAUCUGUAUUCACCAGACACUGCAGCACUUUCACCAUUCUUUCUACUUCUGCUGUUUACGCUAUUAGUAAUCCAAGAACCUUCCUGUAUGUUUGAUAUCCAUAUGGAUUUAUUCAGUGCCUUAUUCUCCCAAAUGUUGGUGUCGAAAUUGUAGAAAUUCAUGUAGCGUUUACAUUAACUAAAAUAUUUUAGAAAUGAACGCCAUUCAACUUUUCUGCGCUCUAGUAGAUCAUCAUACAGAAUGUCUUGUUGAAGUCGACCUUGUGACAUACCUGUACUUUAAACAUUUCCAAGCCAGCUAAGACGUCUUCAACUGAUGAUAACAUGGAUGUCCUGGCACCCCUGCACUUCGCAGCAAUUUGUCAUUAAUUAUUUUAUCUUGCCACCUUAUUUUUGGAAUCCACAUUGAGCAUCGGAAUAGAAAGAUAUUGUUUUUUUUCCUGCCAAUAGUAGCUGUGCAAUGUUUCAAUACAUAAAGCCGAGUGCUCAUCACACAGGUCAAAAGCUUCCAGUCUGAGGGACUUGUGAUAUCAUGCUGCGCUAACAAUAGCAGUCUAUUGCAUUCAAGCCCUUGAACUGAAAUAGAUAUCGGGGAAGUGAGACAACGGGUGACAGUUGGAAAUGUAAUCAGUAAAAGAAAUAGGCAAAUUUAGAUAUAAGGCAUAUUUUAAAAUAAAUUGACUAAAUUUUCUAAACAUUUUUUUUAUAGCAACAUAACUCAUUCAAACGCAUUUGGAGCUUAUUCAUAACAUGAAUUUUUUAAAAUGGAAAUCUAUAAAUGGAACAUAGGGGACCUAGAGCAGUUCAUAAAUUUAGACCCCAAAGAAAAUAAUGUUGGAUAAAGUUGAGUAAAUUAAACACAUUUUCAACCGACAUUUAAAAAAAAAAAGCUUUAUCAUAGAGAAUAUAAAAAAAAUUGUUACAGAAAAGUAGAGUUAAAAAAAAUGACGCUCAAUUAUUACGUUUUGAAGAAUUUUCAAUCUGUUAUUUCACACUAAUCGGUUUAGCAAAAAACAAAAUGGGAAAAUCGGGCAGUGGACUGAAGAUAAUCUAAUGAUAGACCACGGAAUUUUAACAAACAGGGGAUAAACCUGGCGCAAGUUUCAACUUGUCUUUGUAGGUUGAUUGUGGAGACCUAACUAUUGUCACUAUGACUUUGAAUGUCGCGAUUUGAAUGUAUUUAAGACAUCAUUGAAAGUGGAGAUUAGUCACAAAACACAAUUAAGCAUGUGAAAUAUUUAUUUUAAAACAUAUAACCACCAAUUGUGAAUACUACUGGUUUCUACUAACAAUAAUAACACAGACAUUUUUUUUUCUCAAUAUAACUUUUAAGAAAAAUGAACAAAGAUCUUAACAAGAAAAACAUUUAAAAAAAUAAUAUAUUUUUUAAAAGGACAAAAACUACAUGUAUAAUUAUAUAAUAUAUAAUUAUUUUGGUUCAAUUCGAGUAACGAGCCCGUGGCAGCCAGUAGUUAAAACUUACGCAUUUUUGUUUUAAUCAGCCAGUAAAGAAUGUAUGCGAUUAUGUAUUGCUAUGUUCAUUAUAUGGACAUCUAGAACGAGCUAGUAAUUCUCAGCAACAAUUAAAUUUCUAGGAAUAUCGUUAGAUGCUUAUUUGAGAUCAUCUGUCCAGAUUUCUUAAAACCAUGUUCCACGAAGAAGCGACUUUAAUAGAGGUAUUGUUAAAUUACAAGUAAUCAGAGUAAUAACAUAAAAGUAGGUUUAUCAGUUUUAAAAAUGUUGACCUUGAUAUUCAACAUUGCAUUUGAUUUUCAGCUAGGCAGGUUUCAUAACAGGAUGCCACUAAUUUGUUUUAGUUUGGUUUAAUAUCCAACGAAGUUCUACUGGAUAAAGACAUCAGCAAUGUGAUAGCCAUGGCAAUGGGCAGCAUGUCACGGCUUCGGAAAAAGAGUGUGGGACAAUACCCUACUAGCUAACGAUACCAAAGCCCUUGUCUACAGGGGAAAAAAAGCUGAAUAUCUUCCACCUCCGGUGCCUAAGAUCUUUAAAAUGAGGUGGCAAGAUAAAUUAACCAAUGAAAAAGUGAUGCGACGAACCAGGUGUAAAGACAUCCGAGCUGUUAUCAGAAGCAGACGCCUUGGCUGGCUUGGUCACGUUCAUAGAAUGCCACAAGUUGACUUCCACUAGAAAUUCUGUAUGGAGAUUUAACAGAAGGCAGGAGAGCCGCUGGUCGUCCAAAGAAGGGAAAAAAGUGGUACUGGAUAGAAAAAAUGGACAGCGAGCAUAAAGGAAAGGUCCCAGUUUACAGAUGCCAUACACAACAGUAGUAGAAAUAAGAAUGAAAGUACAACGUCUGGUGAUUACAUAUGCCCAAACUUUGACCUCGGCUCUGUAUCAAGGAGUGGCCUUUUUAGUCACACAAGAAGUUGCAAAGGGAAAUCAUUUCUCUCUUCAUACUAAAAAUGUCACAGAAAUUGUUACUAAAAAUGUUUGACAGUUUGCUGGAUGAAAAGACAUGCUCCAAUUAGAUUCCCAUUUCUGUAAUUCUUCUAAUUAUCUAAUAAUGUUAUAGGUCCAUGAGAAAAGAAUGAUUAAAAAUUCAA